CCUACGGGAGGCAGCAGUGGGGAAUAUUGCACAAUGGGCGAAAGCCUGAUGCAGCAACGCCGCGUGAGCGAUGAAGGCCUUCGGGUCGUAAAGCUCUGUCCUAUGGGAAGAUAAUGACGGUACCAUAGGAGGAAGCCCCGGCUAACUACGUGCCAGCAGCCGCGGUAAUACGUAGGGGGCAAGCGUUAUCCGGAAUUACUGGGCGUAAAGGGUGCGUAGGCGGUUUAUCAAGUCAGGGGUGAAAGGCUACGGCUCAACCGUAGUGAGCCUCUGAAACUGGUGAACUUGAGUGUAGGAGAGGAAAGUGGAAUUCCCAGUGUAGCGGUGAAAUGUGUAGAUAUUGGGAGGAACACCAGUGGCGAAGGCGACUUUCUGGACUACAACUGACGCUGAGGCACGAAAGCGUGGGGAGCAAACAGGAUUAGAUACCCUGGUAGUCCACGCUGUAAACAAUGAGUACUAGGUGUCGGCUGUCAAAGGUCGGUGCCGGCGUUAACACAUUAAGUACUCCGCCUGGGGAGUACGCUCGCAAGA
rnacentral:rRNA from 1 species